rnacentral:rRNA from 1 species
UACAGAGGGUGCAAGCGUUGUUCGGAAUUAUUGGGCGUAAAGGGAGUGUAGGCGGUUAGUUAAGUCUUCUGUGAAAGCUGCAGGCUCAGCCUGCAAAGUGCAGAGGAAACUGGCUGACUUGAGUAUUGGAGAGGGCAGGGGAAUACCCAGUGUAGAGGUGAAAAUUCGUAGAGAUUGGGUGGAAACACCAGUGGCGAAGGCGCCUGCCUGGCUGAUUACUGACGCUGAGACUCGAAAGCAUGGGGGAGCAAACAGG